UUAAAGUCAACCAAAUUUAAAAAAUUUUAGUUAUGAUGCAACUAUAAAAGGAUAAGUUAUGAGAGAUGUAAAACACCACAAUUUAAAAUACAUCAAUCUCUUUCUUUACAUAUAUCCAAAAUCUCCCUACUUAUUCCAAUGGCUGGUAUUCACAAAAUUGCUGACAUCAAUCCUACAAUCGACAAUUUGUGUGUACGUAUACGAGUGAUACGGUUAUGGACACUAUCAAGUUACGAAAAUUCUCCAUUACCAUACUCAAUUGAGAUGGUUUGGCUCGAUGAAGACGCGGGUUUUCUACUAAUAUCCUUUUAUCCAUGACUCUAAGGUAUCGAAUAAAGUUUGGUGUCAUUGAUGAUUCUGACUGUGCAUGUUUUGUAAUCUUUGACAAGGAGGCAAAACAAGUUUUGGGAAAGAGCUGUGUAGAGAUACUUGAUUCACUCCUAUUAAAGGAGAUCUAUCGGAUACACCUACACUUUUGCUCAACCUAAUUGAUAAGAUCUAUCUCUUCAUCGUUGAAGUUCAAAUAUCAGAUAAUCCACAUUUUUCACCUUAUUAUAAAGUUAAGAAGAUGAUUGAUAAUGUGGAUCUCAUAAAUAAAUUCAAAGAGACUCACCCUAUUCAAAUUGACGUUGACUACACCGGUGGUUCACAGGUUUGCUUCCAAUUUCAAAGACAUCCUCAAUCAUUGAAGGGGAGAAAAUAGAAAGUGCUAAGAAUUUGUUGUUUGAAUUCUCCAAUGAAGUUGCGGCCAAUGAUGAAUCCGAAUUGUUGAAAAAUGCUAUUACACCAACUAAGCGACUAUCCUCGGAGUCAGAAGAUUCGAAGGUGGAAGGAGAUAUCUCAACUUGCAAGAAGAUCAAGAUUGAGAAAGAAACUUGAGAAUUUGGAUGCACAUGUUUUGAAAUCCCUUUUAGAGUCUAUCUAAUAGAAUAAUGUCAAGCAUAUGUUUGUUUUGGUGAAAACAUUGUCUUUUCUUGAGUUGUUAUUUUUCUUUUGGUUCUUUUCGA